GGGGCAUGUCUACUAAACAGUGAGCAGCCUAUGGCUGCUCUCUGUUAAAAGAACAAACAAAAAAACCUAGUGUCCACCCAACCGUGCCGCAUGAUCAGGGGCUAUUGAACUGACCUAUUGCGCCCCCCUUGACCCCCACCCCGAGCGGCAGGUGGGGGCCCUAAAUGAAAAUGUGGGUGGGUACCGAUUGUCCUCCCCCCGGGUCCCCACCACUGAGUGGCGGGUGGGGACCCUAAAGUGCAAUAAGGGAGGUGGAACCUAUUGUCCUCCCCCCGGCUCAAGGGUGGGGGUGGGGGUGGGGAGGACAAUAGGUCCCCCAUUCAGUUCAAUAGUCGCGACUUGCACGGCGCGGGUGGGGACUCG